UUGACGGGACCGCACAAGCGGUGGAUGAUGUGGAUUAAUUCGAUGCAACGCGAAAACCUUACCUACCCUUGACAUGUCCGGAAUCCUGCAGGGAUGCGGGAGUGCCCGAAAGGGAAUCGGAACACAGGUGCUGCAUGGCUGUCGUCAGCUCGUGUCGUGAGAUGUUGGGUUAAGUCCCGCAACGAGCGCAACCCUUAUCAUUAGUUGCUACGCAAGGGCACUCUAAUGAGACUGCCGGUGACAAACCGGAGGAAGGUGGGGAUGACGUCAAGUCCUCAUGGCCCUUAUGGGUAGGGCUUCACACGUCAUACAAUGGUCGGUACAGAGGGUUGCCAAGCCGCGAGGCGGAGCCAAUCCCACAAAGCCGAUCGUAGUCCGGAUUGUUCUCUGCAACUCGAGAGCAUGAAGUCGGAAUCGCUAGUAAUCGCAGGUCAGCAUACUGCGGUGAAUACGUUCCCGGGUCUU
rnacentral:rRNA from 1 species